AUUGAACGCUGGCGGCAGGCCUAACACAUGCAAGUCGAACGAGUGGCGGACGGGUGAGUAACGUCUGGGAAACUGCCUGAUGGAGGGGGAUAACUACUGGAAACGGUAGCUAAUACCGCAAACCAUCGGAUGUGCACAGAUGGGAUUAGCUAGUCGGUGGGGUAAAGGCUCACCUAGGCGACGAUCCCUAGCUGGUCUGAGAGGAUGACCGGCCACACUGGAACUGAGACACGGUCCAGACUCCUACGGGAGGCAGCAGUGGGGAAUAUUGCGCAAUGGGGGAAAGCCGGAUGGAGCCACGCCGCGUGUAUGAUGAAGGCCUUCGGGUUGUAAAGUACUUUCAGCGGGGAGGCGUUACCCGCAGAGGAAGCACCGGCUAACUCCGUGCCAGCAGCCGCGGUAAUAC
rnacentral:rRNA from 1 species